rnacentral:lncRNA from 1 species
UAAGAGCUGAUCAAAAGUAGACAUGGGGAAUAGGUGAAUUCAAACCUGCUGAGAUACAAGAGGGAGAUAGAUUUGGCUUCUCCUACACCUUGGACCUCUCCCUUCUUGAGGAAUUAAUCUUGGAAGGUGCUGAGAGCCCUGAAGUGCCAGUGAAGUCAGUGGGAUUUGAAGUUUCUCACAGCUCGAUGGACAGAAAUCCUUAGAGGGGUUAAUUACCCUGCUCCGUCCCCAGCCAGGAAAGCCUUUAAGCACUGCUUAACUUCUAGGAUGUGAGGAGUCCUCUUAAAUGGGGGUUUCAGCAAUCCAAACUAUCAUCUGAUCUCACCCAAUACCGCUGCAGCACGCUGACGGAUCAGUGCAGCCAUCUUUGUUCCUAGGUAGGCUCCACCAAGACGUUCAGCUCUAUUUGCUUUGGGUAAGAUACCAACCUAUGCCUAUAUUGUUUUG